GUGUCAGCAGCCGCGGUAAUACGGAGGGUGCGAGCGUUGCUCGGAAUCAUUGGGCGUAAAGCGUACGCAGGCGGUCUGUUUAGUCGGGUGUGAAAGCCCGGGGCUCAACCCCGGAAAUGCGCCCGAUACUGGCAGACUUGAGUGCGGGAGAGGGAAGCGGAAUUCCUGGUGUAGAGGUGAAAUUCGUAGAUAUCAGGAGGAACACCGGUGGCGAAAGCGGCUUCCUGGCCCGACACUGACGCUCAUGUACGAAAGCGUGGGGAGCAAACAGGAUUAGAAACCCUAGUAGUCC
rnacentral:rRNA from 1 species